GAAAUCUCUCUGCUCCCUUACCUCUUAAAGAGACAGAGGUAGGAGAGAUUAAGAAAAAAACUUUUAACAAUGUAAAUCUUAUUUUUUGCCAUAAUCAGUUAAAUUACUGAUCAGGAGAAAUAAGAAAAAUUAGAAUGGAUUCUGUAGAAUAAAACAAAGACAGGUAAAAUCCUAAUUGGCAGGGAAAUUGAUGAUUAGGGGAAAAUACUUACAAAAGGGUUUCAUUCAUCAACACCAUUUAAUCUAUUAGAGGGUGGUCUGACUAGCACGUAACUAUUAUGGGGAGCUACUGAUAAGACAGCCCAAAAGGAGAAAAUUUCUGGCUUCUCCGAGAAUCAGCUUAGAGAAACCAAAGAGGACAGACACACACAGGGAGAGAGAGAAACAAAGACAGAGAGUAGAGAGUGCAGGAGACCCAAUGAAUGAGUUAUGUGGGCUCAAGGGGAUAACCAGGCCUUCAAGCAACAGGUUUUCAUUUUACUGAGCAUAUAGGAACAAUAUAUAUGUGAUUUAACAAAAGAAGCAUUACAUCAUUGAAACUCAAUCAGGACUUAUAAGCAUUACAUUACAGAGAGCCAAUGGAGUGAGGAGAUGGGAACCAAGUAGGUACAAAUUCGGUCAUACACAGAAUACAAAGGGUUUUUGAUUUUUGCAUACAUGUGUCUAUGAAGAUACAGCUUCAAAGUCUCUGGCCUAAAAUAGUGCUAGGCCUUGCAAAUAUUGCUUGUCUGAGGAGUCUGGCCAGACAGCUGGGGCCCACUUGAGGAAUGAUAUAACUAUUAUCUUGAAGUUAACCUUGAAUCCUAACAAAGGACUGCAGUUGUCUUGAAACUUGGCCUUGCCAAAGGAUGUCAGAGGAGAAGUUCAGGCAUGUCUUUUUUCCCUGCUUUUCCUCAGUUGACCCAAAGUGUCUUUAUGACUCUGUCAUAUCCCUCUUUUGUGUUUUAGAAAAUAGCUGCAUCUUAUGGACCCAAGUAGACACUAAUCGUGAGAAAAAUGAAUCUUAUAAAGACAGGAAGCAAAAUUAUACAUACAAGUAGUAAAACAAGAACAGAAAUAUUACACACUAAAUUUUGAUACAAAAGGAUUAAGAAGUAAUCAGUAUAGAAUUUGCAAUUACAUUUGGAAUUACUUCUUGGGCAUGCUGAAGUAUCUCAUGAGUGUUGUCAAAAGGGAGAGGGGCAACAUAUAUGGAAUCACACCUGAGGGGUAUCAGAAAGUAAAAAAAAAAAGGAAUUUGGAUGGGGUAAGGGUCUAUUCCUUCCAGGGGGAGGAUGUCUCUAUUGCUUGGUAUGUAGAGAUAGGUUUCAAUUUGCUCUGAAAGGCCUAAGUGAGCUAAGCUAUACAGAAGAGUUACAGGGAUAAUUGAUCAGAAAGUAUCACUACUACUGUUAACUCCAAAAUUUAUCAUAAUUGUGAAUAAUGCGUUGGUACUUAAUAAUUUUACUCCACACAAAUCACCUUAUAAUCUGUACAAAGUUGCAUUAAUCAUAAUGUUCAGGGGUUACUUAAUUCUAUAGUUGAAGCAUGAAAUCAGUUUCAAAAUCUAUCACCACAUUAGGCAGGAAUUUUUUGGUUUCAUCAUUCUAAAGUCAUCAUUCUAAAGGGACUUAGGUGAAUUUAGGUUAUGUGAGACCUUAGCGCCUUACAAAGGGCCACAGUUCUCUCAAAACAGAGCAGAAAUUCAGACCUAUCUUUUUUGCUGCUUUUCCUCAGUUGGCCCAAAGUGUCUUUAUGUCUCUGUCACAUUCCUCUUUUUUUCACCAAGGCAAGAGAGCACGCAAAAAAGUGAAAAGUAAUGCAAGAAGGUCCUAUAAUGUGUAGGCAUGCCUAAAACUGACUUACCAGUAUAUGUGAUAACUAAUGUGAUCGAAACACCAAUUAGACUUAUACCUCUCAAUGCAUACAAUCUAAUUUAACUACUCAAUAGGUGUAAAUGAUACAAUGAGAAUUGCUCUCUAAGGAUAGAUCACCAGUGUGAGUCUUAAAAGCCCUGAAGAGUCUUUCAUAAAACUGCUGAUGACAAGGUAUCCUUGAUUUCCCAGCCAAAAACUGUGUCUUGUCUCCCUCAGGUGCAGUCAUUAAACAAGUCUACCAUAAUUAAUACUACCCUCAAGUUAACAAGGGCUACAUGAGUCUCAAGUUCAGGAAACAUAGAAACCUGUCCCAGUCAUGACAUAGGGUCAGACUAAUGGCUAGGACCUCCGAUGGCUUUCUUAUAAUUCUAGCUAUGAGAGUUAAAGUGAUUAACACAGUUCCUGGCACAUAGGAGCUUAAUAAAAGUUUCCUUCUUCCCUCUUUCCUUCCUUCCCUCUAAAUUUCUACUUCAGAAUUGACAUGGAAUGUGAUCCUUUAAUUUUUCUGCCUGAGAUAUUCCUUCAUUUACUAAACAUUUGUUAAGCAACUAUUAUAUGUCAAGCACUCUGCUAGAUGCUAGAGAUACAAAGAGAGAAAUGAAACAGUCCUUAUCCAUAAGGAGCUUACAUUUUAUUGUGAAGAAACAAUAAACAAUGUAUACCAAGUAGAUAGAAUUUUUUAAUUGGGAAUUAACCUUAUUAUCAGUGGGAAGACCCAAUGUCUCAACACUCAUUCUAUGAAAUGAACUAUCCUUUGGUUGUUCUAAUAUUGCUCUAAUUGUUCUGCUCUAAUAUUGUUAAUUAGUCAGAAUCUAAGUUUAAUAAUCUUACUUGAAAAUUCAUAGUAUGUCAGGAUGAAAAAUAUCAAAAUAAUUUUCAUUUUCCUGUCAGAAGAUGCUUUUUUCACUUCAGAGGUCCUUGGUGACUGAUUUCAAUGCAGAUUCAUGGAGAUUCAUCUCAUGUUUAUAGAAACAGUGACUGAUAUAUUCUGGCUGACUAGAGAGAGCUGCUACUAGGGCCCAUCCAAGGAAGAAGGAGGAAAAAAUCCUAGAACAGAUAUUUGCUUUUGUUCUUUGCUGAGAAUUUUUGACUGUGGGAAGUUCCAUCUUGCAACUCCCCCAUUUAUCUUUUUGUGCGUGUCCAAUUUAAGAAUACAUAGAGACGAGACUGUGACAAGACAACAAUAAACAGAAACAUACAACUUUGUGACAAGCAUGCUUUGAAAGGAGAAAAUCAGUGUUUUAGGAUCCUUUCUUAAAAAGAAACGUAUGCAGGGAGAAAAUUCAUUAAAACAGUUUCAGUGUACUGCCCCUUUAACUGAAGAAGCUAAGCUGUUGCGAUUAGCCAUCUGAUUGGCUGAGCUGACUUUCUUGUUCCCUAACUUUCCCUGCACCAUACAUGCAGAUAUAUCUAAAAUGCUCUUGUAGUAUCUGGAAAAAACUACUAUCUGCUCCCAGUUAGGGUUGGAGGCGAGCUGUUCAUGAGGCUGACUGGGUUUCUCAAGGAAGGAACUUUUACAUCCCCUCCUAUUCAGAUAUUUCUCUUGCUUGGAAGCUUGCUGCUGGAGCAGGCACAGCCUCUCCUUCAUAGCCUUCCUGGUUGGAAUAUAGGUGGAGGUAGUUGGGGAACAGACAACAUAAAAGAAAUUAUCCUUUGUUAAAUUGCAUCUUACACUCUUUUUGCCUCUUCAUUUGUUUAAUCUAGCCACACAAAAACAACAAAGACUCAACAGAAACCCAUAGGACACACUCUUUCACACAUUCAUACAACUUUGAACCUGAAGGUUACCCCAGAAGUCACUGAAAGAAGUCUCUUUAGUGACCUGGCUGAGGGACUAAAGCUGCAUCCAGUAACCCAACAGCCUCUACUGAAUCUGGAUUUAUAGAACAGAACAGGACCAUAUAAAAUAGUAGUGAUGACAAUGGAAUCCUUGCUUUGCUCCUUAUUUUACCUGAAAGAUUACUAGUGUUACAAAUAAUUCCAGUUCCUCAUUUUUGAUACUCUACCAUUUGGAUGAAAGACCCACUUAUUCCAAUUCUUUGAAGUACUUUGAAUAUAAAUGUAUUUAUUUUUUCAAAAGUUUUUUUAUAUGGUUUUUGAUGUAAUCUCAUUUGUUUUUAUGGACUUUUGAUAUUGAAUCAUCCCUCCUCUUCUGACUUAAAUUUUACUUGAUUAUCACAAAUAAUCAUCUGACUAUUUUAUGUCUAUAAUUUAAUGAGUUUAUAAGAGUAUAUUUCUCUCCUCAGAGAAGAAUAAAAACGUUCAGUAAUUCAGACAGUACAAAGUUAUCGAUUUUUACUCUGGGAAUCUUGAGUUUCCUUUGAGAUAAGUCAGAAGACCCAUAUGAAGUAUAAAUUCAUACUAGAAGUAAUAAAAUUUAAAGAAAGGCAGGAGCCUUGUCCUCUCACAGAAAGAAGAGGCUAAAAUCCUCAAAGAUAUUGAAAGAGAAAGAAGAAAGGAAAGAAGGAAACCAAUAUUUGUUAAGUAAUGAUGAUGUGUACUGUUCUACGUUCUUUAUAAUUAUUAUCUCAUUUGAUCCUCACAACAAUCCAGGGAGGCAGAUGCUAUUAUAACCCUCAUUUUUAAUUGAAGAGACUGAACUAGACAGAGACUUAUGACUAGCCCAGAGCCAAACAGCUUGUAAGUAUCUGUGAUAUAUUUGAAUUUGGGUCCUUGUGACUUUAAGCCAGCUUUCUAUCCACUAAGCUUCAGGGUAGCUUAUAAGUAAAUAGUACAUAGAAAUGCAAUGGACCUCAAAACAUAGAUAGUUAGAGCCAGAGAGACCUUAGAGACCAUGUAGUCGAACCUUCUGAUUAUCAGAUGAAGAACUGUGAUAAAAGAGAAGUGUAAUGAUUACCAUGGUUACCAAGGUCAUUAGUUUAUAGAGUGAAGAGGCAGAUUCAUUCUUAUGAUUCAAUAUCUAGUUUUCUUUAUACCAUUCAACUUUGAUGCAUACAAAAAUAAUUGUUUAAGGAUUAAAAACAACAACCAGGUAAUAUGACAUUUCAAAUCUGAGUCCCAGCUUCCUCCUUUGAAUGUCAAGAUAAUAAUACAAUAUCUUCCCUCAGAGAAAUAUUGGGAAAAUAAACAGGAGAAUGUUUGUGAAACCUUUUUUGUGCUUCAUGAACCUGAAAUUUCCACAUGAAUGUGAGCUGCUGUUACAUGGAUGCUUUGAAGAAUCUAUGAUUUCAAAGUAUAGGCACAUUUUUUCUGAGGUGUAGAUCUCAGCCUGUCCACAUUGUCUAAUCUAGUUUGAACUUUGUACAAGUCUUUAAGCUUUCAGAGAGGCCUUCCUCCUCCUUUGUUUUUCCUGUCACAGGGAUACCGAUGCAGUAAUUUGAUUAUUUAUUCAGUAUCUCUUGUUCUCUCUAUAUGGUCAGCAUAUCUACCUUAUUGUUCAGAUAUGUUGGUAUUUUGUGCCACUUUUUAUACAAAAAAAUUCAUUGUUCAUAAUAUGACACAACUCCUUUGCAUUUUUCAAUUCUUUCCUAUGUCACUUGAGCUGCACUUUGAAAGAAAAGCCUAGGUUGUAGACUUAUGAAAUUAUAGUCACAGAAUUAUAGAUUUGGAAGAUGUCUUUGAGGUCUCAUCUAAACAGUAUUUUCAUUUGAAAGAGAUAUUAAAACUCUGUGCAGUGAAUGACAACUAAAGUUAACAUAAAAAAAUGACCAAAUUGUAAUGGAUGUUUAGGUUCCAGAUCGGUGUUAAUGAUAUGAGGGUACAGGUUCCCUCCUAGAUAACCCAAACUCCAGAACUGUUCCAGAUCAAAAUGGACAAAGGAAAUUCCUUUUUGCUGCCUGAGAGGAACAUCCCCCUUGGAUUUUCCCCUAGAUCCUAAAUUAACAUAGCUAUGUACUUCCCAGUUCCAUCCUGAUAAACAUUGGUGGUACCUAAUCCAAACAUCCCUUGAAUUCCACAGAUCAUCCCUUAUACCCCCAACCCAAUGAAUUACUUCCUUCCUGAUUUACCUCAUUCCCCUCUUAUCCUGUAACCCCUGUUUUCAAAGGGGCAUAAAAACCAAGUACCCCAUGUCCUCAGGGAAGCAGUGUUCUACCUGCACAUGGUCUCCAGACCAUUCAACAUUAUCUCCAAAUUAAUAAAUUUCUCUUUUUAUUUUUAAGCUAAUUUUGGAGUCUAGCAUUUUUGCAAAAGGUAACCUGUCCUCAACUUUGGGUUUUACCUCAAAGCUCUCCCACAACAGUGAGAACCAUCUUCUCCUUUCUCCUCUUCAUUUUUUUCCUUUUACAUGUCCUUUCUUUUCUUUUCCCCUUCUCUCUUUGUUUCUUAUUCUUCCUUUAUUUCUUUUUUAUCUCUAUCUUUCAUCUUACUAUGACUUUAUCUCUUCUCCUUCCCUGGUUGUUGGUAUGAUGUGGAAAGGAUCCUGGACAUGAACUCAGAAAGUCUGCAUCCAGUUUCUUGGAUCACAUAAUUUCUACAGGUGUGAUUCUUGGCACGUCAUCUUACUUCUGAUCCUUAAUAUCCCAUUUUAUACAAUGGUUAUGGUAAUACUUCCCUUGCCACCUCAUAGGGCUGUUGGGAUGAGAAUGCUUUGGAAUCUUAGGGUUUUACAUAAUGUAAACUAAAAUUAUUAUCAUGGUACUUCAAUGUAUUCUUGAUCUCAUGUUUAUCAGUCACCCUCCACUUUCAUGGAUUAAAAUGCAUCCAUACCUUCUUCUGGGACAUUAUUUGCCAUGUAGUUUGAAAAGUAUCCAGAAGUGAUUUACCCAAAAUUCAAGAGAACUUUGGUUUGGUUAGUAUGUUGAAGAUAAGUAACAAUGUAGAACUUUAGCUGAGUUGUUGCCUUUUUAUAGGACUGGAAUAGUGAUGAAAUGAGAAAUUUUAUAGAAAGUUCUAUAAGAAUUCAAUAAAAUAUAUUGAAAAGAGCAUUGGAUUUAUAUUUAGAUAUUGCCCUCCAGGCCUGGAAUGUUCAACU